UAAGACAAUAUGUAUGAACAAAACAUUUGUAUUUUAUUCGCUCUAUGUUAUUCUGUUUGUGUGACUUACUAAUAAAGGUCAUUGAUUUCAAGAGAAAAAUAUAUAAGGUGGACUAGUGAAGAUGAAGCUUUGCAAUUUCUAGUAGCUUCCAACAAUGCCUUACAUGUCAAUAUAAUGUGAGUUGAGCAAGCAACUAAAUGGCGACAGGGAGGAUUCGAUGACUUUGUUUUCCUUGGUUUCAUGAUCUUUUAGAUAUAUAUACCUUUUUUUUAUGUAGCUUGAAUUUACUUAUUUCUACUUUAAACCAGCUUUUCAAUAAGAAAAGAGGAUACGUUUCAUAUGCGCAUGAAUGAUAAGGAAUAUAACUUCGUGUGAGCCUGUUGAUCUAUCUAUUAAGGAGUUGGUAUAGCCUAGAGAGGCUUGAAUAAGGAAUAUAACUUCGUGUGAGCAUGCUGAUGUAUCAGCAAAAGAGUUGGUAUAACAUUUUUUUAAUUGAAACUCCAAUUUAGAGCCAAGCAUUUGUU